GGGAAAAUUUUGUAGAUAAAAAAUAGUUAGAUGUAAAGAUCUAAACUUUUUUACUAGAUUGGUAAUGGGUGAUUUUUGUUUUCAUAAUAAGACUACUCAAAAAACAAAUUGGAGACAAAAUUAUGAAAAUAAUGUGUUGGGUUUUAAAUUACGGUUGUUUCACAAUUUUUUAUAUUGUAACUUCAAUUGUAGUCACAAAAUUGUGAUAUAGAAAUUGCAAGACAUAAAAUAGGUUGAUGUCACAAUUUAAAUUGUGGUCGAAGCCUUGUAUGAAAAUCCUAAUAAUGACUGAAUUUGAAGUAUUUGGAUUUGUGAAAGAGAAAAAGAGAAGAAGAGGAAGAGAAGCAAAAUGAAUGAGAGGAGGCAGAGGAAGACAAGUUUGUUUUCUGACAGGACAUUUACAAUAUCAUUUCUAUUUAACUUCACACUCUCCUAUCUCUUUCUUGCCUUAUAAUACUAAUUUUUUUAAUGAUAGUUCUUAGCUUAUAAUAUACCUAUAAUAAUGUCAACUUUAAUGUGCAUCAUAUGAGAAUGUAUAAAGAAUAAAAGAUUGAGGCAGAAACUAGGUAGUGUGUUUUUUUAAUAUGUAUUGCCAGUUAAUACUAUGAAUUAAAAAUUCUAAGAUUUUUAAAAUUUGAAAAAAAG
rnacentral:lncRNA from 1 species